AUGAACGCUGGCGGCGUGCCUAAUCCAUGCAAGUCGAGCGAACGGACGAGAAGCUUGCUUUUCUGAUGUUAGCGGCGGACGGGUGAGUAACACGUGGAUAACCUACCUAUAAGACUGGGAUAACUUCGGGAAACCGGAGCUAAUACCGGAUAAUAUUUUGAACCGCAUGGUUCAAAAGUGAAGGACGGUCUUGCUGUCACUUAUAGAUGGAUCCGCGCUGCAUUAGCUAGUUGGUAAGGUAACGGCUUACCAAGGCAACGAUGCAUAGCCGACCUGAGAGGGUGAUCGGCCACACUGGAACUGAGACACGGUCCAGACUCCUACGGGAGGCAGCAGUAGGGAAUCUUCCGCAAUGGGCGAAAGCCUGACGGAGCAACGCCGCGUGAGUGAUGAAGGUCUUCGGAUCGUAAAACUCUGUUAUUAGGGAAGAACAUAUGUGUAAGUAACUGUGCACAUCUUGACGGUACCUAAUCAGAAAGCCACGGCUAACUACGUG
rnacentral:rRNA from 1 species